CGAAUGUUCUACGGGAACUCAUAAUUGUCAUGCUAAUGCGACCUGCACUGAUACAAUUGGUUCCUAUACCUGUACAUGUUUGGCAGGUUUCACUGGAAAUGUUCUUUUCAAUAUCAUAUUAUGUUUGCACUGCUUUAACAAUUGCAUAGACUCGGAAAUAGAUUUAGAGCAGGCUUUGAUUUUAGUUUAUAUUGUACAUUCGUAGAGAUCAACGAGUGCCGUCAACCUGGCGCAUGCCCAGAAAAUGCAAUUUGUAACGACCUAAUAGAAAAAUGUGACUACACAUGUAAGCCAGGAUUUGAAGGAUUGGCAUGU